rnacentral:rRNA from 1 species
GAUGAACGCUGGCGGCGUGCCUAAUACAUGCAAGUCGAGCGAACAGACGAGGAGCUUGCUCCUCUGACGUUAGCGGCGGACGGGUGAGUAACACGUGGAUAACCUACCUAUAUUACGGGGAAAAUUCCGGAAAACCGGAGCAAAUACGGGAUAAUAUAUUGAACCGAUGGGUGAAUUAGAGAAUGACGGUUUUCGUGUCUUUAUUAGAUGGUUCCGCGCCGCAUUAGCUAGUUGGUAAGGUAACGGCAUACCAAGGCAACGAUGCGUAGCCGACCUGAGAGGGGGAUCGGCCACACUGGAACUGAGACACGGUCCAGACUCCUACGGGAGGCAGCAGUAGGGAAUCUUCCGCAAUGGGCGAAAGCCUGACGGAGCAACGCCGCGUGAGUGAUGAAGGUCUUCGGAUCGUAAAACUCUGUUAUUAGGGAAGAACAAAUGUGUAAGUAACUAUGCACGUCUUGACGGUACCUAAUCAGAAAGCCACGGCUAACUACGUG